UGCACAGCUCAGACUUCAACUGCCUCCAGAACAACUGGGACCUGCACAAGUAUGAACCUCCAAAAAAAUUGUAUGCUUUAUCUCUGGAGAAAUCACCGGUGUUUUCAUACCUGCAUUUUGACUACAUCACCUGCCUCUUACUCUCAUAGUAAUUUUAAACCACUUGACUGAAUUGAACAACAAGGCUGCAGAAUUGAGUCCACUUUUUCCACUGACCAACUGAAAAAGCUGGCUACAGGGAAGACAGAAGAAUGCAAGAUUUACAGCAGAGGGACAGAGCCAGCCCUGUGUUCUGAUUAGCAGUUUGGAUGCCAUUGUUCUGUCUGGAAAACACAUGUCAUCCUCAGAAUCACCCAAGCUGUCCAUUGACAUCUGCCAGCAUAUCCUCCAUCACCUCGCUCUUUCUUUUUUCUCAUUUUCUCUUCCUUACUCCUCUUCCUUCAUUUCCCUGCAUGAACUAUUCCAGCACAGUUAGGAGCUAUCCCUUGUAAAAAGUGAUGUGGCUUUCACCUCCCCACAAUAUCACCUUCAGUGUCAGGCUGACCACCUCAAAACAACAGAAAAUAGACAGCUCCUCUGAGUCUUCUCACUUGUAGGAUUUGUGCAGUGAUUCACUCUGGGGACAGAAAUUCAUAAUAGCCCAGAGGCUUCAUAUUUUUUAAAUUGUCACACUAAGACUUGACUGCCUCCAUGAAAGAAGCAGUAGAAAGAGAUGCCUGAAGGUAGGCUGGGAAGAAUCCAAAAUGAUGUCAGGUUUCCUUCUACCUUCCCAUCAAUAGGGUCUUUGAAGAAAAAGCCUCUUCAGAAAAGAAAAAAAAUAACUUUCUCUUUAGUUAAAAGGGCUACCAUGGUUGCAGUUUGGAAACUGGCAGUUAAUGUUAGCUUUAUUACCUUAAAAUCUAUACAGCCUCAUGGUUUGCUGUGGAUGGCUUUGCCUUCAUGAGUUUUGAUGAUGUCCUUGAAAGAGAAAUAUAAAUGCAUAGCUUCAUUCUGUGUUGACUUUGGAGGUGAAUAUUUUAUCCCCUUUCCUUUUCCUGGCUGUUUGCAAACAGCAGUGAUAACUCCUAUGCAGCACGCCUAAGAAUUGUGACAGAGGAGAGAAAAUCAAAGCUUUCACUGGACUAGAACAGUUCCAAGUCUGAUAGUUCUCUUUCCUCACUGUGGUGACUGAUGAUGAGGGACAGAGGAGAUAAAAGAGGUGUUGGAACUGUGCAUCGCUGUCUAUUAUCUUUUGUCCAAAAGAUACUUUUAUUAUUUUCAUUAUUGUUUUAGCUUUUAUGUAGAAUGAAAAGAGUCUUAACUAAAGGAAAAUACAUUUUUUUUCCUGAGGUCUAUGCAUUUUUGUGUGUGACUUUAUAGGGAAUAGAAUCUUACAUUCUUGAAGAGUCCUUAGAAAAAUGUUGGUGCCUCUCUCUAGUUAUACCAUAGUACAACUUUUUCAGCAAAGAAUAAUUUCUGUUGAAAUAUCGUCUCAGCAGUUUUUGGAAGAUAGUAAAUUCUAAUUUAUCCACCAUAAUGUCUAUCAGCCUGCUGAGAAAUUUUCCUUUUGCUGUGGAGGCCCUGAAACACAGUUUGUGCAAUGCUGUCACACACAAGUAGAGCUGCACCAGCUGAUCAUGGCUAUUUUUUAGGGACUCAGCUUUCAGACUGUCUCUUUGGAAGAAUUUAAUUCAUAAUUUCUAACUUAAAUGAUUGCUAACAGAAUAAUUCUUCUCCAGUGAUGUUGGGUUGAAGAAUCUGAGAGGGUCCCCCCAUUAUGAGGGAGAUACCUGGGAAGGGAGCCCCCAGCUACUUGACUUCUUAGGUAAAAAUAAGAUUGUCCUAAGGUUGUUCACCUAGGAUGAAGUUUGUAUAAAAACUAGAAAUAAAGAAAAAAUCAUCUCUUACUCACACUAAAUAAAUCUAGACCAAUAAAGCAAUUUUUUGUUGUUGUUGUUCUGGUCAAGAAAGACUGGUAUGGUGGCUAUCUAAUUCCUAUUAAAUAGACAGGUGGGAGAGAGGUAGAAUUACCCAAAUAUUGUAGGUUGAAGAUUUUAGUAAUAACAAAAAAAAAAAUUCAGAUAAAACUUUUCUGAAAUCCCUUAAGAAUUUCAUGUGAGACUUGUUGUCAGUUGUCAUUACGUGCUAUGUAAGCCUGGAUUUAGAGUCAUCCUUUUGAAUGGUGGACCAGUGAGCAGGAGUUAUAAACUAUCACAUAACCUGCUUUUUAAUGCAAAAGUACCACCUUGGUUUCCUGAAGGGGGAGGGACAAUCCUUCAUGAAUGAACACACCAGAGACAAGAUCAUUCAAUGUCCAGGAUAAAUCCCAACCACUGCAAAACUUCAGCUGCAGCAGCAAUUGCUGCAAGUGGGAAGCACUGACCAGAAACCACUAGCACAGUAUCUGAUAUAUUCCCAA